AGUCUGUGAGCACAAGUUGUCUGGGUACAAGACUGACCCCCUUCAGAGCUGGAGAGAAGACAUCCCAGCAAGUGGACAGGGGCCAUGGAGAGGAACCUGGGAGCUGUGCUGGGGAUUCUGUGGGUGCAGAUUUGCUGGGUGAGAGGAGAUAAUAUCCAGCAGAGUCCUUCAGCCCUGAGUCUCCACGAGGGAAACAAUUCUGUUCUGAGAUGCGAUUUUUCUAAUGCCUUGACAUCAGUGCAGUGGUUCAGACAGGAUCCCCGGGGCAGUCUCAUCAAUCUGUUCUACCUGGCUCCAGGAACAAAGGAGAAUGGGAGGUUAAAGUCAACAUUCGAAUCUAAGGAGCGCUACAGCACCCUGCACAUCAGUGGUGCCCAGCUGGAGGACUCAGGCACCUACUUCUGUGCUGCUGAUGCACAGUGCUCCCAGUGAGCCUGCAGCCUGGCCCCAAACUGCAGCUGGCUGUGGAGCUACAACCCCUGCCACAGGCAGACUCAGCAGGAGGCUUUGCACAGCUGUGGCUUCAUCAGAUCUCCACAAAUUACAAAGAUGUGAGGAAACAUAAAAAUACCACUGUAGUUCCCACUUACAUUCUGACUGACAUGACACUGACUUCUAGAAUGCUAAAUGCUGAGAAAUAUCAGCAUGCAUGAUCAAAAUAUGCCCCUUUAUUUUUUCAGUUUAUGUUAAUGUCAUAGAAUAUAAACCUCUCUUACAUA